UACGGAGGGGGCUAGCGUUGUUCGGAAUUACUGGGCGUAAAGGGCACGUAGGCUGGCUGUUAAGUCGGUGGUGAAAUGCUGAGGCUCAACCUCAGAAUUGCCUUCGAUACUGACGGUCUUGAGUGCGGGAGAGGUGAGUGGAAUUCCCAGUGUAGCGGUGAAAUGCGUAGAUAUUGGGAGGAACACCAGUGGCGAAGGCGGCUCACUGGACCGGAACUGACGCUGAGGCGCGAAAGCGUGGGGAGCAAACAGG
rnacentral:rRNA from 1 species